AACGCGAAGAACCUUACCCAGACUUGACAUGCACUGGACGACAUUAGAGAUAGUGUUUCCCUUCGGGGCCGGUGCACAGGUGCUGCAUGGCUGUCGUCAGCUCGUGCCGUGAGGUGUUUGGUUAAGUCCAGCAACGAGCGCAACCCUUAUCAUUAGUUGCCAACAUUUAAGGUGGGAACUCUAAUGAGACUGCCCGGGUUAACCGGGAGGAAGGUGAGGAUGACGUCAAGUCCGCAUGGCCCUUAUGUCUGGGGCUACACACGUGCUACAAUGGUCGGUACAGAAGGCAGCGAACCCGCAAGGCGGAGCAAAUCCCAAAAGCCGAUCUCAGUUCAGAUUGUAGUCUGCAACUCGACUACAUGAAGACGGAAUUGCUAGUAAUGGCAGGUCAGCAACACUGCCGUGAAUACGUUCCCGGGCCUUGUACACACCGACGCAC
rnacentral:rRNA from 1 species